AGACAGUGGUUUUACACUGAAAAAGGGCAGGUUUAGAUUAGCUAUUAGGAAGAUGUUCAUUAUUGUGAGGCUGAGGAGGCACUGGUACAGAUUGCCCAGAGAAGUUGUGGAUCCCCCAUCCCUGGCAGUGUUCAAGGAUAGGCUAGACGAGGCCCUUAGCAACCCGGUCUAGUGGAAGGUGUCCCUGACUAUGACAGGGGGGUUGGAACUCAAUGAUCUUUGGGGUCCCUUCCAGCUCCAGCACAUUCUAUGACUGUAUGAUGACACACUCUUUCAUGUGUCCUGUGAGUACACUGGUCAUCAGCAAGAGGACAGAACAGAAUUGCUGAAGAUUUAAAAUGGCUGUUUCUGCAGGCAAUGCUUGCAGAGAGUGCUCUGCAGGGCUACACCAAUCGUAGGGGUUAAGGCAUUCUCAGUGUUGCUACAAUUACUGGCUCCAAUUGUUCUAAGCUCAACCAUUUUCUAGCAGAUACAUGUUAACCCUUUAUCUUCAUGGCAUCCUGUUUCAUGCCUCACCAUCAAGGAAUAGGGUAUUCCUCAGGCAUAGGAAUGGGGAUAGAGAAAGCUGCUCAGAUGCUGCUGUUGCCUGACUGCACCAGAGGAGCCCUGGCCAUUACUUGGGCAUGGAACUGAAAGCUGCAAGGAGCAAGUCUUUAGUCCCAUCAAAGCUUCAUGAAAUCACAGGAUCUCUAGGCAGGCCUAAGGAUCUGCCAAGUCAAUACAAAACAGAAUACCUUG
rnacentral:lncRNA from 1 species